ACUGCUCAGUAACACGUGGAUAACCUGCCCUUGGGUCCGGCAUAACCCCGGGAAACUGGGGAUAAUUCCGGAUAACGCACAUAUGCUGGAAUGCUUUAUGCGUGAAAUGGAUUCGUCUGCCCAAGGAUGGGUCUGCGGCCUAUCAGGUAGUAGUGGGUGUAAUGUACCUACUAGCCUACGACGGGUACGGGUUGUGAGAGCAAGAGCCCGGAGAUGGAUUCUGAGACAUGAAUCCAGGCCCUACGGGGCGCAGCAGGCGCGAAAACUUUACAAUGCGGGAAACCGUGAUAAGGGGACACCGAGUGCCAGCAUCCUAUGCUGGCUGUCCAGGUGUGUAAACUACACCUGUUAGCAAGGGCCGGGCAAGACCGGUGCCAGCCGCCGCGGUAACACCGGCGGCCCGAGUGGUGAUCGUGAUUAUUGGGUCUAAAGGGUCCGUAGCCGGUUUGGUCAGUCCUCCGGGAAACCUGACAGCUUAACUGUUAGGCUUUCGGAGGAUACUGCCAGACUUGGAACCGGGAGAGGUAAGAGGUACUACAGGGGUAGGAGUGAAAUCUUGUAAUCCCUGUGGGACCACCUGUGGCGAAGGCGUCUUACCAGAACGGGUUCGACGGUGAGGGACGAAAGCUGGGGGCACGAACCGGAUUAGAUACCCGGGUAGUCCCAGCCGUAAACGAUGCUCGCUAGGUGUCAGGCAUGGCGCGACCGUGUCUGGUGCCGCAGGGAAGCCGUGAAGCGAGCCACCUGGGAAGUACGGCCGCAAGGCUGAAACUUAAAGGAAUUGGCGGGGGAGCAC
rnacentral:rRNA from 1 species